rnacentral:rRNA from 1 species
AGAACGAACGCUGGCGGCAUGCCUAAUACAUGCAAGUCGAACGAACUCUUCGGAGUUAGUGGCGCACGGGUGCGUAACGCGUGGGAAUCUGCCCCUUGGUUCGGAAUAACAGUUGGAAACGACUGCUAAUACCGGAUGAUGACGAAAGUCCAAAGAUUUAUCGCCAAGGGAUGAGCCCGCGUAGGAUUAGCUAGUUGGUGAGGUAAAGGCUCACCAAGGCAACGAUCCUUAGCUGGUCUGAGAGGAUGAUCAGCCACACUGGGACUGAGACACGGCCCAGACUCCUACGGGAGGCAGCAGUAGGGAAUAUUGGACAAUGGGCGAAAGCCUGAUCCAGCAAUGCGCGUGAGUGAUGAAGGCCUUAGGGUUGUAAGCUCUUUACCCGAGAUGAUAAUGACAGUAUCGGAGAAUAAGCCCCGGCUAACUCCGUAGCCAGCAGCCGC